rnacentral:lncRNA from 1 species
CCUCGCGAUAUUCUGUCUGCAGUCCUUCCCUUGUUGAUCUUUUUAGUUUUCCACCUUCCUUUCAGUUUCAGUUUAGAUGUAAUUUUAUCUGUGAGGCUUCCCUUAGCUUCUUCAGUCAGUUUAGUUACCCCUCCUUCCUCUAAAUCGCUUUGCACUUAUAACUCAUAGCCUUGUUCAAGGCUUAGGCGGAAUUUUGUAAUGAACAAAAUGGAUAGGAUCCUAGUCUUCACAGAGUUACCGUUGUGACAAGUGCUUGUCAUUCAUUCAUUCAACAAACAUUUAAUAAAUGUCUCCUGUGCACCAAGCAGUGGGAUAAAAUGAGGAACAAGUGUCUGCAGUCACGCAACAAAAAAUGGAUUAAGACGCCAAGAGUGGAGAGUCCCUGCACAAACUGGAUUCAACAAGGACAGAAAGGAAGCCCAAACGCUUUACAUAUUGCCUGCUUUACACCCCAGGCUCAAGUCCAGAAAGUCCCUGUGAUACAACUCUCCAGUGAUUUCCCCUGAGGUCCAACCUAGUAGGUGCUUAAAAAGUCUUUGUUGUAAAUUAAUAAAUUAAUCCAAAACCACCACACUGCUAUUUCCUCCUACCUAUCUUCCUGUGCCUAUCAUAAGCUGUAUCACCCGGGGAAAAACAUUUUUCAGCUAAAUUUAGAACAGGGAGGGUUUUGGUUCCAUAAUUCCACUUCUAGUAAUAGAUUCUAAGGAAAUAAUCAGAUUUAGAUAAAGAUAGGUGUAUGAUAAUAUUCAGGCAAUGGUGUUUUCAAUAGUGUAAAGUUGGGAUCAACCUAAUUUGAAAAAUAGCCAAUAAGAAAAUGGCUAACUUUGAGGGGCCAGGCACCGUGGCUCAUGCCUGUAAUCUCAGCACUUUGGGAAGUUGAGGUGGGAGGAUCGUUUGAGCCCAGGAAUUUGAGACCAGCCUGGGCAACAGAGCGAGACCCUAUCUCUAAAAAAAAAAAAAAAAAUCAAAUUAAAAAAAUUUUUGAAAAAGAAAAAUGGCUAACUAAUGGAAUGGGGCAUGCAUAAGACAGAAUAUACAGAUCUAGAAGGAAAAAGAAUCCCAAAUGUGAAGGAGCAGAAGCACAGCUGGAGAGCUCACUACUCUAACUUGCUAGGAAACUUUGCGAAAAGCACAAUCCAGUAGAGAGUAGAAGCUGUAGAAGUGUCUUCAUGCACUUCUCUUUUUUUUUUCCUUCCCCAUCUGUAAAAUGAGAAUAAUCCCACCUGUAUUUUUGUCAGAGAUGUGUGAACCACAGCAACUCCAUCUUGAACAGGGGCUGGGUAAAAUGAGGCUGAGACCUACUGGGCUGCAUUCCCAGGAUAUUAGAGCAUUCUUAGUCACAGGAUGAGAUACGAGGUCAGCACAAGAUACAGGUCAUAAAGAACCUGCUGACAAAACAGUUUGCAGUAAAGAAGCCAGCCCAAACCCACCAAAAUCAAUAUGGUGAUGAGAGUGACCUCUUGUCCUCCUCACUUUUACACUCCCACCAGCACCAUGACAGUUUACAAAUGCCAUGGCAACACCAGAAUGUUAUCCCAGAUGGUCUAAAAGGGGGAGGCAUGAAUAAUCCACCCGUUGUUUAGCAUAUAAUCAAGAAAUAAGCAUAAAAAUGGGCAACCAGCAGCCCUCGGAGCUGCUCUGCCUGUGGAGCAGCCAUUCUUUUAUACCUUCACUUUCAUAAUAAACUUACUUUCACUUUACCCUAUGGACUUGCUCUGAAUUCUUUCUUGUGAGAGAUCUAAGAGCCCUCUCUUGGGGUCUGGAUUGAGACCCUUUCCUGUAACAUUUUCAGCCAUGGUGGCAUGCGCCUGUAAUCCCAGCUACUCAG